UUAGACGGUAGGGUAUUGGCCUACCGUGGCUAUGACGGGUAACGGGGAAUUAGGGUUCGAUUCCGGAGAGGGAGCCUGAGAAACGGCUACCACAUCUAAGGAAGGCAGCAGGCGCGCAAAUUACCCAAUCCUAAUACAGGGAGGUAGUGACAAGAAAUAACAAUACAGAACCUCACGGUUUUGUAAUUGGAAUGAGUUAAGUAUAAACCCCUUAACGAGUAUCAAUUGGAGGGCAAGUCUGGUGCCAGCAGCCGCGGUAAUUCCAGCUCCAAUAGCGUAUAUUAAAGUUGUUGCAGUUAAAAAGCUCGUAGUUGAUUUUCUGUUAAUUUUUAUGUAUAAUAUUGCGAUAUUUACAUAAUAUUAACAUAAUUCACAUUACUUUACAGUAUGUGGAACUUUACUUUGAGAAAAUUAGAGUGCUUAAAGCAGGCUAUUGCCUUGAAUACUCCAGCAUGGAAUAAUAUUAAGGAUUUUUAUUCUUCUUAUUGGUUCU
rnacentral:rRNA from 1 species